CCAGACAUGACUCACUUUUGUCACUGACGAGGAGCCUCUUAGUGGAGCAUCCCGAAGUUUACGGAGCAACAUCCUCCAAAAGAUCCCGGCUCCAGCAAACAUUAAUCCUGAUACAGCCCAGAAUGCAAUAGGAUUCUUGAAGAAUCCAAGUUCAUCCCAAAAGCCAUCCCCAGCAUCCCGAAGAGCGUGCAAGAGAACAUUCCCAUCGUGAGUUGUAACUCCAAACGCAGAAGCAAAUUUCGAUGGCUGGUAAUGCAUGGGAUAGGGGUAUAUAUACAAAGUUUCUAAACAAUAUGCAGAACAGAAAGCAUGAGUUUUUAAUUAAUAGAAUGAGAAGCAUAAUAGCAGAAUCUUUGUUAAGUUUUAAUAUUUUUAAAAUCGAAAAGUUAAGAUUUUUUAGAGCAUAUACUUUUUAAUAUUACUUGAAUUUUUUGUAAUUUACAUUUAUUG